AACGAACGCUGGCGGCAUGCCUAACACAUGCAAGUCGAACGAGACCUUCGGGUCUAGUGGCGCACGGGUGCGUAACGCGUGGGAACCUUCCCUUAGGUUCGGAAUAACUCCCCGACAGGGGUGCUAAUACCGGAUAAUGUCUUCGGACCAAAGAUUUAUCGCCUUUGGAUGGGCCCGCGUUGGAUUAGCUAGUUGGUAGGGUAAAAGCCUACCAAGGCGACGAUCCAUAGCUGGUCUGAGAGGAUGAUCAGCCACACUGGGACUGAGACACGGCCCAGACUCCUACGGGAGGCAGCAGUGGGGAAUAGUGGACAAUGGGCGAAAGCAUGAUCCAGCAAUGACGCGUGAGUGAUGAAGGCAUUAGGGUUGUAAAGCUCUUUUAACCGGGAUGAUAAUGACAGUACCGGGAGAAUAAGCGCCGGCUAACUCCGUG
rnacentral:rRNA from 1 species